rnacentral:rRNA from 1 species
GCACGGUGGAUGCCUUGGCACUAGAAGCCGAUGAAGGACGUUACUAACGACGAUAUGCUUUGGGUAGCUGUAAGUAAGCGUUGAUCCAGAGAUUUCCGAAUGGGGGAACCCAGCAUGAGUUAUGUCAUGUUAUCGACAUGUGAAUUCAUAGCAUGUCAGAAGGCAGACCCGGAGAACUGAAACAUCUUAGUACCCGGAGGAAGAGAAAGAAAAAUCGAUUCCCUGAGUAGCGGCGAGCGAAACGGGAAGAGCCCAAACCAAUAAGCUUGCUUAUUGGGGUUGUAGGACACUCUAUACGGAGUUACAAAGGAAUAUAUUAAACGAAUCAUCUGGAAAGUUGAAUCAAAGAAGGUAAUA